rnacentral:misc_RNA from 1 species
UUCGCCGCCAUUUUCUUUCGGCCGCAAAUAGGAAGGUUGAAACAGCCCCAAGGAGAGCAUUCCGAGCAGGAGCGCUACCCGUUGCUGCUGCUCUUGAGAACCUUCGCUCUAUUUUGCCACCUGCCGAGGAGGAAUUCAUACCAAUUUUUUUUUUUUUUUUUAAUUAAUUAUUAUUUGAUACCUGCUUGAGAAAGGACUUCACCCUCCUCCCCCCUCUCCCCCCCCUCCCGCCUCUCUUUUUUUUGGGAUACAAGAGUGGAGGCAUUUUGAUUAUUUUCCUCCCCUCUCUCUCUCUCUCUCUCCCUCCCCAGUUUUCUUGGGAAAAAUGACGCUAAAUCCCCAGUUUCAGCAGAUCGGCGAGAGUUUCGUGAAGCAGUACUACUUAAUCUUCGACGGAGACCGCGAAGGAAGAGAGAAAUUGGUGAACUUUUAUCACGCAGAGUUAUCGUUAAUGUCCUUUGAAGGAGUACAAGUACAAGGUGCUGCUCAGAUUAUAGAGAAGAUUAAGGGUUUGAGCUUCAACAAAAUUGCGAGAGCAAUCACCACAGUGGACUGUCAACCAACCUUUGAUGGAGGCGUUAUGGUUAACAUUCUAGGGCAGCUAAAGAUGGACGACGACCCUCCUCACGGGUUCAAUCAGACGUUUGUGCUCAAGCCCCUUGGCGACAGUUUCUUCGUCCAGCAUGACUUCUUUCGCCUGGCCCUUCAUCACAUUGCCAUAUGAACAUUGGUGCGAGGUGCCAGGCAAGGAUGAGGCAAAUGCGCCAUAGUCACUCCUCUGCUGCAUCUCUCUCUUAUGGAUGAAGACCCAGUGCAUGGAUUCUCGCAAACGUUCGUUCUCAAGCCCAUGAACGACUCUUUCUUCAUCCAGCACGAUUCUUUCCGCCUGGUCAUCCACAAUCAAUAAGCCAUCAUAUAAUAAUAAUAAUAUUGUCAGCCACUGUCCAAUCUCUGACAAGUCUCCCCAAAAAGCCUUGUCAGCCAUAGUCUGUUGGUAAAAAUUUUAAUGUGCUACUUGCAGUUAUUUGCAUUUUAUGACAUUGUCAGGGAUGUGUUUCUUCAUGUUUUUUGAAUGAAAUGAUGAUUAUUUUUUAGUUUUUAGAGGGUUGCUUCCCAGGCAGUUAUCAUGGAAAGAAAAUGUCGUAUUCCUUUAAUUUUUGAAUGUAAUUGGUUUGGUUAGAAAGUAAAUGAAGUUCCUUUGUACUGGACCUCUUUCAGCUAUUAUUAGAUGUUGGAAAUGCAAUAUUCUUAAGUUUAAAAGGAUUCAUUGUAAUCAAAGCUGCUGUAACUUUCUUGAUUAAAAAAAAAAAAUGUUCAUUAAAAAGCAAAAAAACAAAAUGCAUAUGGCAUGCUAAGAAUUUUUGAUGUCAGGAAAUCACAUAUUGUGAGUGUUUAAGCCCCAUGUGAAGUUUACGCUUAAAUAGUGUCCCUUAUUGGGAUUACUCAUUGCUUUGUUGUAAGGUGCAGAAGCGAUUCAUGAAACAGCAAAUGUUUUGAUAGCAUUUUUUUUUUUCAUUACCCCCAUUUUACACUGCGAACAUCCGUGCUUUUUACCUAUGUUGAAGUUCCUCAUGAUGAUUGUUAUAGCAAGGAUGGUGUUGCAACCAUAGUGGAAGAACAGCUGAUAUUCAGUCUUGCUGCUGCACUGUCUUGCCCCCCAAAAAAACAUAAAAAAAAAAAAAAAAAAAAAGGUUAUUGUCGUGGGUCCUUUUGUUUUUUUCCUAUUCGUUUCUUUAAUGAUAUACUAAGUAUUUACAUGAAUGUAAGUCUUGACAACUGAUGUGAUAAGGUUCACGGUGAUAGGUGAUUUUGCCAGAGAACAUACAUGUGUAAGUGCAAGUUAUUCUUCUUUGAUAGCUCAACUUACUUCUGUAUUAGAAUAUAGUCUUAAAGGAGGAAUGAACUGUGAAGAGCUUAACCAAAUUUGAUGAACUGGACUUUUACAUGACUUUAUUUCCUCGAGGUCUGGCCAGUAAACCAAAGGGAAAUAAGGCCUUUUUUUCUUUUUCUUUCUUCUCUUUCUCUGGUCAGAUUUUUGCAAAAAGAUCAACAUGUGUUUGAUUAAAGAUAUUCUUACA